rnacentral:rRNA from 1 species
GGUUAAGUUAGAAAGGGCGCACGGUGGAUGCCUUGACACUAGGAGUCGAUGAAGGACGGGACUAACGCCGAUAUGCUUCGGGGAGCUGUAAGUAAGCUUUGAUCCGAAGAUUUCCGAAUGGGGAAACCCACCAUACGUAAUGGUAUGGUAUCCUUAUCUGAAUACAUAGGGUAAGGAAGACAGACCCAGGGAACUGAAACAUCUAAGUACCUGGAGGAAGAGAAAGCAAAUGCGAUUUCCUGAGUAGCGGCGAGCGAAACGGAACAUAGCCCAAACCAAGAGGCUUGCCUCUUGGGGUUGUAGGACAUUCUAUACGGAGUUACAAAGGAACGAGGUAGACGAAGCGACCUGGAAAGGUCCGUCGUAGAGGGUAACAACCCCGUAGUCGAAACUUCGUUCUCUCUUGAAUGUAUCCUGAGUACGGCGGAACACGUGAAAUUCCGUCGGAAUCUGGGAGGACCAUCUCCCAAGGCUAAAUACUCCCUAGUGAUCGAUAGUGAACCAGUACCGUGAGGGAAAGGUGAAAAGCACCCCGGAAGGGGAGUGAAAGAGAUCCUGAAACCGUGUGCCUACAAAUAGUCAGAGCCCGUUAACGGGUGAUGGCGUGCCUUUUGUAGAAUGAACCGGCGAGUUACGAUCCCGUGCGAGGUUAAGCUGAAGAGGCGGAGCCGCAGCGAAAGCGAGUCUGAAUAGGGCGUUUAGUACGUGGUCGUAGACCCGAAACCAGGUGAUCUACCCAUGUCCAGGGUGAAGUUCAGGUAACACUGAAUGGAGGCCCGAACCCACGCACGUUGAAAAGUGCGGGGAUGAGGUGUGGGUAGCGGAGAAAUUCCAAUCGAACCUGGAGAUAGCUGGUUCUCCCCGAAAUAGCUUUAGGGCUAGCCUUAAGUGUAAGAGUCUUGGAGGUAGAGCACUGAUUGGACUAGGGGUCCUCAUCGGAUUACCGAAUUCAGUCAAACUCCGAAUGCCAAUGACUUAUCCUUAGGAGUCAGACUGCGAGUGAUAAGAUCCGUAGUCAAAAGGGAAACAGCCCAGACCGCCAGCUAAGGUCCCAAAGUGUGUAUUAAGUGGAAAAGGAUGUGGAGUUGCUUAGACAACUAGGAUGUUGGCUUAGAAGCAGCCACCAUUUAAAGAGUGCGUAAUAGCUCACUAGUCGAGUGACUCUGCGCCGAAAAUGUACCGGGGCUAAAUACACCACCGAAGCUGCGGAUUGAUACCAAUGGUAUCAGUGGUAGGGGAGCGUUCUAAGGACAGUGAAGUCAGACCGGAAGGACUGGUGGAGUGCUUAGAAGUGAGAAUGCCGGUAUGAGUAGCGAAAGACGGGUGAGAAUCCCGUCCACCGAAUGCCUAAGGUUUCCUGAGGAAGGCUCGUCCGCUCAGGGUUAGUCAGGACCUAAGCCGAGGCCGACAGGCGUAGGCGAUGGACAACAGGUUGAUAUUCCUGUACCACCUCUUUAUCGUUUGAGCAAUGGAGGGACGCAGAAGGAUAGAAGAAGCGUGCGAUUGGUUGUGCACGUCCAAGCAGUUAGGCUGAUAAGUAGGCAAAUCCGCUUAUCGUAAAGGCUGAGCUGUGAUGGGGAAGCUCCUUAUGGAGCGAAGUCUUUGAUUCCCCGCUGCCAAGAAAAGCUUCUAGCGAGAUAAAAGGUGCCUGUACCGCAAACCGACACAGGUAGGCGAGGAGAGAAUCCUAAGGUGUGCGAGAGAACUCUGGUUAAGGAACUCGGCAAAAUGACCCCGUAACUUCGGGAGAAGGGGUGCUUUCUUAACGGAAAGCCGCAGUGAAUAGGCCCAAGCGACUGUUUAGCAAAAACACAGCUCUCUGCGAAGCCGUAAGGCGAAGUAUAGGGGGUGACACCUGCCCGGUGCUGGAAGGUUAAGGAGAGGGGUUAGCGUAAGCGAAGCUCUGAACUGAAGCCCCAGUAAACGGCGGCCGUAACUAUAACGGUCCUAAGGUAGCGAAAUUCCUUGUCGGGUAAGUUCCGACCCGCACGAAAGGUGUAACGAUUUGGGCACUGUCUCAACCAGAGACUCGGUGAAAUUAUAGUACCUGUGAAGAUGCAGGUUACCCGCGACAGGACGGAAAGACCCCGUGGAGCUUUACUGUAGCCUGAUAUUGAAUUUUGGUACAGUUUGUACAGGAUAGGCGGGAGCCAUUGAAACCGGAGCGCUAGCUUCGGUGGAGGCGUGGUGGGAUACCGCCCUGACUGUAUUGAAAUUCUAACCUACGGGUCUUAUCGACCCGGGAGACAGUGUCAGGUGGGCAGUUUGACUGGGGCGGUCGCCUCCUAAAGUGUAACGGAGGCGCCCAAAGGUUCCCUCAGAAUGGUUGGAAAUCAUUCGUAGAGUGCAAAGGCAUAAGGGAGCUUGACUGCGAGACCUACAAGUCGAGCAGGGACGAAAGUCGGGCUUAGUGAUCCGGUGGUUCCGCAUGGAAGGGCCAUCGCUCAACGGAUAAAAGCUACCCCGGGGAUAACAGGCUUAUCUCCCCCAAGAGUCCACAUCGACGGGGAGGUUUGGCACCUCGAUGUCGGCUCAUCGCAUCCUGGGGCUGUAGUCGGUCCCAAGGGUUGGGCUGUUCGCCCAUUAAAGCGGUACGCGAGCUGGGUUCAGAACGUCGUGAGACAGUUCGGUCCCUAUCCGUCGUGGGCGUAGGAAAUUUGAGAGGAGCUGUCCUUAGUACGAGAGGACCGGGAUGGACGCACCGCUGGUGUACCAGUUGUUCUGCCAAGGGCAUAGCUGGGUAGCUAUGUGCGGAAGGGAUAAGUGCUGAAAGCAUCUAAGCAUGAAGCCCCCCUCAAGAUGAGAUUUCCCAUAGCGUAAGCUAGUAAGAUCCCUGAAAGAUGAUCAGGUUGAUAGGUUCGAGGUGGAAGCAUGGUGACAUGUGGAGCUGACGAAUACUAAUAGAUCGAGGACUUAACCAU